GGAGAGGUGGCAGAGUGGUCGAAUGCGGCAGACUCGAAAUCUGUUGACCGGUUUAUCCGGUCCGGGGGUUCGAAUCCCCCCCUCUCCGCCA
rnacentral:tRNA from 2 species